GCCCGGAUAGCUCAGUCGGUAGAGCAGCGGAGCUGUUAGUCUACGUGGACCGACAAAGACAGAUUCUUUGAGGGAGCUAAGCUCAACGUAGUUCUAACAGCUCCGCGGGUCCAGGGUUCAAGUCCCUGUUCGGGCGCCA
rnacentral:tRNA from 1 species